rnacentral:tRNA from 1 species
GCCUUCGUGGUGCAGUAGUCAGCACACUCGACGCGUGAUCGAGAGGUCCGUGAUUCGAUUCCUGGCAAAGCCG